UUCUGAUCAUAUCAUGAGACACGUUAAGGUCAUAUCUACUACUACUUAAAAUUAUCCCUUGAAGAACACUAUUCAUAAGAAAGGUUUAAAUCCUGACCGUUUAUUAAAAUUGUUUUGUUUAUUCUGAAUCAAUCUUGGCCUUUGCUUUAUAGCAGCUGAUUGGUGGCCCCACCAUAACAUUUCUCUCACGUUUCUCAAUCCCCCUUUCUGACCUAAUUGCGUGUUUGCGGUUGAAUGACGGCGGCACAGCUUCAGUGAACGGAGAAGAUGGCGGGGCGAUUCUGAAGGCGGUGAAGAGGUGGUUGGUGGUUUGACCUCGGAUUUGAAGAGAGGAGGUGAAGAUCUAGGAGAAAGAACCUUCAUUUUUCAGAUCAGAGGUCGCCGGAGAGGUCGUCGGAAAUCGCCUUCGCCGGCGGCCCUUAGCGGAACAGACACCUUUCUUCAUCUCCUUCGCUCAGAACAUGAAAUCUCGGUCCAGAAAAGCCUUUGAGGCAUCGAUGAGGCUAAAGGUUUGUUCAUGGUGGUGGUGCUGUAUGCCAGAAGAGGAAAAGGUGAAGAGAAGAAAGGAACAGAGAGGCGUGUGAUAGGAGAGAGAGAGAGAGAGAGAGAGAGAAAGAUUUGUGGAAAUGAAAGAGAGAAGGAGAAGGAGAGGUGGGGUCUCAACUCUCAGUUUGUUGAGGAGAAAGCAAGGAGAAGGACAAGAGAUGAUGAUGAUGAUGGAAAGUACAAAAUUUUCCUCAUGGUGGAUGGUGUUUGGUCAGAAUCAGAUUCAGAGGGAGAAGGAAAAGGACCAGUCUUCCCUUGUGAAUGGUUAGGUGAGGCAGCUCAGAUGACAGGAUAGAUCGUCACGAAUUUUCUGUGGUCCUUGUGGCAGAACCGUAACUGUUGUCUCCCCCUCUGACCUAAGUGCGUCUUUCUUUCCUCUUUUUCUUCUUCCAUGACCUAAUCGCCUGCAUCGAUCAUGUUUCUGCUGAAGGAGUACAGUGUGCUGCAGUCGUUUUGCUCUCCAAUUUUUGUACUUUUGAUGAUCUCACCUUCUGCGUUGGAGAAGUUUUGGUGGAAGGUGAAGACUGUGGGCAUUGGUUUGAUUUCGACAUAGAUCGUCACAUUUAGCUGGCUCUCUCACUGUAUACGCUCUGAUGUGUGGGAGCAGUUGGUGUCAAUUGUAGUUGUUGCAGUUUCAAUGAAGAAGAAGGUUAGUUACUUUGAUUAGGGUUGUACUGUGUUGUGAUUGAUGCAAGAUUUCGUGUGAUUUUAAUUUUUGUUGUGAAUUGUUGAAUCCAUGCUGUUUUACUUGAUCAAAAUGAGAAGGGUGACAAUUUUUUGUUGAAGUAGAACUUUGAUUUGAUUUGUUACUCUCUUUUGUCAGUAGAAGAGAAGAAUUAGAAGCAAUGUUUGUCAGGUUACUGUUUUGAUGUCAGCUUAGUACAAGAGGUUUGGUUUUGGCAGUGUUCCAGCAAUUUACUUGCUGGCAUCCUUCAGUUUAAUUAAUUUGAAAUUGAAAUUUGUAAUGACCUACCUGUCUCACUUUGUAUCCGUCUAUAAAUACUGGUGUAUUGUGGUCUCUUUGUUGCUCUUGCUCAUAUCCUGGUUUGAUUUUGAUAUUGCUAUUGCUUCAUUGCUACCUAUCUUCAUAUCUGAUAUCUGAUAUUUGUCUUGUGCCUUAAUCUCAAUCAUGGCCUUUACUGCUGGUCCGUUCAACCCUCUGAGUUGCUUAUUGCCUGGAAAAGACACAUGGAAAAUUAAGAUUUUUUACUAGGAAGUCAGCUGUGCACGUGUUUCACUGCUCUGUUGUAUGGGAAGUUUAAAUCAAUUGCAGAAUUAGUUUUCGUUCCAGUCCAAGCUUUUUGAUUUAGGGUGCCAUCUGCUCUCCUUUAAUGACAAGGUGACAAUGAGAAGGAGUAGAAUAGAUUGUUGAAGGAGAUUGGGGAAGUGCUCACUGUUUGUUGUCAGGAGUAGAGCAAAAUCAGAAACUAAAGACGUCAUUUUCUUCGUCAGCUGAAGCUUUCCCUAAUGUCAGGCCAGAAGGAUUGGCUUUCCCUUUCCAAUUGUCUAUAAAUACUGCCUUAGUUUGUUGCUUUUCAUUGUUCCUGUUGCUAUUUCUCUACAUAUCUGAGAAUUGGUCUUUCCCCCAAUCUUACUGAUAUCGUUAGGCUGGCCUUCUCAAUCCUCUUCCAAGUUUAUGCCUUGGCAAAUAUACAUGUCUGAUCUUAUCUGGCUAGUUUUUUUCUUUCUUACAAAUGUAGAUAGAUAAAACUGAUGGUUAUUUCUUUUUCUAUUUGUUUUUUCAAUCUUAAAUGUCCAGAAUAUGAGUGAAGAAGAAAUAGGCGAAGGAAGAUUGUCCACAAAAAUGGAUGUCUUUCCAAUCGUGAAAGGAGCAGAUGGAGGAUUGGAAGAAACAGCAAAGUAAAAAAGUUGUGGGAAUUUACUAAUUGUCUUAUGAAAGUGGGUGCUAGACUUCGCCAUACACCUUGUAGAAACGGGAAUAGAAAAUGAUGCUCUCUUGGCAUUGAUCAUUUUAUCUUUUCAGUUUGUCCUGGUCAAUCAUGAGUAUUACAAUGGUGUUGCAUGGAAGGAACAGAUGGAGGAUUGGAAGAAAAAACAAAGUGUUGCAACCCUUUGCUGCUUCACUAUUCUAACUCCUUUUGUUUCCGUUUUGCCACAAUCUGGAAGAGGGUUUAGUAAAUAGUAUGAUUGCGUUCUAGACCCAUUUGAAGACAAGUUACAAGUAAUACUGAUCUCAUGUUAGACUUUCAUGUUCAAGAAGACUUCGACAUCACCACAAGGUUUUGGAGCAUCAUGUAGGGUUGAUUUUGAGAGAGAAGCUUGGAAAUUUGGGAUACCAGACACGAAUACUUAGGGACUGCAAUGGGUUCAUCAGUGCUGGACUGUAGAGGUGAGCAGUUCCUUCACUGGCCGCGAGGGAGUGGAGGCUCAGUCUGAAAAAAAGGUUGCAAGAAGCACCGUAGGAAGAAAAGCGGAUUUUAAAAUGAGGUUUGGUUUCUUCAUAGGCUUGAUUGAGAAAAUUCUAUCUGGGAAUGUGUCAUCUCUGCCUUCUCGACUUAAGGCUUAGUGAAAAAGAAGUAGCAGUUGAGGACACAACACGAUGAGCCUCACUGCUGCUUAAGAACUUUAAAUUUGGAAUUUCCCUCUUUGCAUUCUACAGCUAUAGAUGCACCUUUACACAAAUAUUGGGCAUAAACCAUAUAAGCCUCAGAAUUCUGACAAUAACUUAAGGAUAUGAAGUGGAACCACUGCAAGAAAUGGAUCUGAAGUGAAGUGGCUUCCCAUGGAGAAAUCCUGUUGAAAACAUGUGCCACAGUACACAGUUCCAACCACCACAACUGAAGGAAGAAGGUCGUUGCUGUCAAGGCUAGCUUCUAGAAGACUACCAUGAGUGAGACUGAAACAAAAUUACCAGGAACCAAGACAUUCUAAGUGAAGAGGAAACUAAGGAGAAUAUUUUUUCAGUAUUUCCCGUGACUAUGAGAUGUCCUUUAGACUUGGAUGCGAGAUUGAUGAGGAGACACCUGAUAAGCUAGAAGGUCUAUAAUGGAAGUAUUUUUUUCAGAGCUAAGGUUGAAUCCUUACUGGCCAGAGACAUGGAGACAUCUAUUAACAACACUACAAAGGAAGGGAGAUCAAUUUUCUCUACUGUUGAUACAUUGAUACACUAUACCCCUCUUCCUGUAGUUUUGCUGCCUUCCGGUCCGUUAACUGGCUAAAAGAAACCAAUUAUGCCAUCUUCUCAAGAUGAAUGCUCCAAUGUGGUGAACUGUUUAUGCUUUGUCUGAAAGACUUCUAAAGUAGAUUAAUAGAUCCCAAAGUAUAAUUUCAGCGGUGUUAGCUUGGCAUGGGCUCAAGAUGCAAGUUCAUUAUUUUACACUAUGUCAGAUGAAAGCAGUGGCCUAACAGUAUUUACAGAAAGUGAUUCCAAUUAUUGCGUGGAAAUAACAAGCACAAAAGAUGGCAAGUUCACAACUGUUAACUUGAACUUAAGGACUUCAUUGGAGGAAGGAAGUAGACAAAAUGAAAAGGCCAACUCUUUUUUGUGGGUUUGUGAGUGUGUCACCAUUUUGCUGAGAAAAAUUGGUGUGAGUGCUGCAUCAGAGGGAGAAUUGGGAUAUUUGAAUAAAGGUGCCCCUUGGAGCAAUUGCUACCAGUUUUAUGUACUUAUCAUUUACGUCUCUUUGUUUCUGGUUGGAUAAUGUUAUUCUCCAAUCACAUGUACCUUAAGGUGAUUGGAGCUUCACAAAUAUAAUUUUAGAAGUGGUUAAGUUACAUUCUAUAUGAAUACUUGAUUCAUUUUCUAUAUAUUUCUGCAUUCCAUGGAUUUUGUAA